rnacentral:rRNA from 1 species
CCCUUAGAUGUCCUGGGCUGCACGCGCGCUACACUGAUGUGUCCAGUAAGCACCUAACCUCUUCCGAAAGGAACGGGUAACCUUUGCAAAGCACAUCGUGAUAGGGAUAGAUUAUUGCAAUUAUUAGUCUUGAACGAGGAAUUCCUAGUAAGCACAAGUCAUCAGCUUGUGUUGAUUACGUCCCUGCCCUUUGUACACACCGCCCGUCGCUCCUACCGAUUGAAUGUUCCGGUGAGCUCUUCGGACUGCGCGGUCUGCAGUUUCUGCGUUCCGUGCGGAAAGUUGCGCAAACCUUAACAUUUAGAGGAAGGAGAAGUCGUAACA